CCCUUAGAUGUUCUGGGCCGCACGCGCGCUACACUGAUGCAUUCAACGAGCCUAUCCUUGACCGACAGGUCCGGGUAAUCUUUGAAUCUGCAUCGUGCCGGGGAUAGAUUAUUGCAAUUAUUAAUCUUCAACGAGGAAUGCCUAGUAGGCGCAAGUCAUCAGCUUGCGUCGAUUACGUCCCUGCCCUUUGUACACACCGCCCGUCGCUCCUACCGAUUGGGUGUGCUGGUGAAAUGUUCGGAUCGGCCGUUUGUCGCGGUUUCCGCGGCUCGUGGCUGAGAAGUUCAUUAAACCCUCCCACCGAGAGGAAGGAGAAGUCGUAACA
rnacentral:rRNA from 1 species